rnacentral:rRNA from 1 species
GGGUCUACCCAUUGGUCAGGCUUAAUUGUCUGCACUGGUGAGAUGGAUCUCUACCUUCUGAGGAACUUUCAUGCCAUUUAUUUGGUGUGAUGGGAAAUCAGGACUGUUACUUUGAAAAAAUUAGAGUGUUUAAAGCAGGCGUCCGUCUGAAUACAUUAGCAUGGAAUAAUAAAAUAGGACGGUUUGGUUCUAUUUUGUUGGUUUCUAGGAUCGAUGUAAUGAUUAAUAGGGAUAGUUG